GCGCUUUGAAUGCUGUGAUUUGUCUUGUAACCUACAUCGCCAUUCAGGCGAGACAGCUUUCCCUGGAAGACGUAGAUGCAUAUCUAAGCCAAGCUGUUUGUGUCAGACUCAAAUCCUUCGGAGAAAUGCAACAGCUCAGGACCCCUGUUGUGGACCCUAGGGCCGUCCAGCUUGGCUCUCUCUUUGUGCAGGGUCUAACCUACCUCAUCGCAAGCCAACAGUG
rnacentral:lncRNA from 1 species